CCUACGGGCGGCAGCAGUGGGGGAUAUUGCACAAUGGGGGGAACCCUGAUGCAGCGACGCCGCGUGGGUGAAGGAGUAUUUCGGUAUGUAAAGCCCUAUCGGCAGGGAAGAAUUUAGACGGUACCUGACUAAGAAGCCCCGGCUAACUACGUGCCAGCAGCCGCGGUAAUACGUAGGGGGCAAGCGUUAUCCGGAUUCACUGGGUGUAAAGGGAGCGUAGACGGCCAGGCAAGCCUGGAGUGAAAGCCCGGGGCCCAACCCCGGGACUGCUCUGGGAACUGUCCGGCUGGAGUGCGGGAGGGGCAGGCGGAAUUCCUGGUGUAGCGGUGAAAUGCGUAGAUAUCAGGAGGAACACCAGUGGCGAAGGCGGCUUACUGGACUGUAACUGACGUUGAGGCUCGAAAGCGUGGGGAGCAAACAGGAUUAGAUACCCUUGUAGUC
rnacentral:rRNA from 1 species